AGACUCAGCAGGUGAAAGGCAUCAUGGGACAGUCUUUCUCUUUUCAAGAGAGGGUGAUCAAGACUGCCAAUUUACUUUAUGGAGAACUUGAUAGUAUUGCAAAUGUGUACCCUGGUAAACGAGGCAAAAUCACCCUUGAGAAGAGAUUUGAAAACCGCCUCCACUUGAACAAUGUUACAAGAUACUUCACUCUGUCAGCCCUUCAGAUUGACGAUGCUGGGGUUUAUACUGUGGAGAAUACAGAUGAAGGGAAAAAAACAACAAAAUUUGAGCUCACUGUAUACAAUGUUGUUUCCAAACCUCAGGUGACAGAGUGUGACAGCAGCUCCUGUAGUGUGGUGUGUUCUGUGGACAAUGAAAAAGAGGUGACCUUGACCUUGUACAGGGGAGAGGAAAUACUAAACCAAACUCUCCAUUUGGAGGUAGAGGGAAAGAACUACAACUCCACCUACAGCUGUGUGGCUGCCAACCCUGUCAGCAUUGAGACAGUUCUUGUCCCAAAAUGUUGCAGUGAAGAUGGUCAUCCUAAUGAUGCUGACAGUAGCGAGAUGACUCUGGGUAUGGUUAUUAUUGCUGUAUUCUGCAUUCUGGUUGCCUCUGGGCUGGUUGGACUAGCAAUCUAUCUAAGGAAGAGUAGAAAUGAACACUCACAAGAUUCAGCCGAAAGAGUGCAAGUUGACAUUGAGGAUGCAACGAUAACUCCUAAAAAACGAACAGAUAACCAGGAGGAGCGAACAGCUAUACAAGAACUGAAAUGGCUUAGAGACAACCCUGAACUGACAUCGGUUUACUACACACUCCAGUUACAUCGCAGCGUUGCCAGCGGGGAUGUUGACACAGCGACUUUCCAUUUUGCUCCUUCAUGCUGAGAGG
ensembl:lncRNA